CCUACGGGGCGCAGCAGUGGGGAAUAUUGGACAAUGGGCGAAAGCCUGAUCCAGCCAUGCCGCGUGUGUGAAGAAGGCCUUCGGGUUGUAAAGCACUUUCAGUGGGGAAGAAAGCCUUGGGGCUAAUACCCUCGAGGAAGGACAUCACCCACAGAAGAAGCACCGGCUAACUCCGUGCCAGCAGCCGCGGUAAUACGGAGGGUGCGAGCGUUAAUCGGAAUUACUGGGCGUAAAGCGCGCGUAGGCGGUCUGAUAAGCCGGUUGUGAAAGCCCCGGGCUCAACCUGGGAACGGCAUCCGGAACUGUCAGGCUAGAGUGCCGGAGAGGAAGGUAGAAUUCCCGGUGUAGCGGUGAAAUGCGUAGAGAUCGGGAGGAAUACCAGUGGCGAAGGCGGCCUUCUGGACUGACACUGACGCUGAGGUGCGAAAGCGUGGGUAGCAAACAGGAUUAGAUACCCUAGUAGUC
rnacentral:rRNA from 1 species